rnacentral:rRNA from 1 species
AUUGAACGCUGGCGGCAGGCCUAACACAUGCAAGUCGAGCGAGCGGCGGACGGGUGAGUAAUGUCUGGGCAACUGCCUGAUGGAGGGGGAUAACUACUGGAACCGGUCGCUAAUACCGCAUACCAUCAGAUGUGCCCAGAUGGGAUUAGCUAGUGGGUGGGGUAACGGCUCACCUAGGCGACGAUCCCUAGCUGUUCUGAGAGGAUGACCAGCCACACUGGAACGGAGACACGGUCCAGACUCCUACGGGAGGCAGCAGUGGGGAAUAUUGCACAAUGGGCGCAAGCCGGAUGCAGCCAUGCCGCGUGUGUGAAGAAGGCCUUCGGGUUGUAAAGCACUUUCAGCGGGGAGGCGUUACCCGCAGAAGAAGCACCGGCUAACUCCGUGCCAGCAGCCGCGGUAAUUC